GGGGAGUUUCUCAGAAGGGACAGGUUGGAUCCUUCUGGGAGGAUUCUGACAGCCCUCAGCCCCCUCAGGCCAGAGCUGGGGUUGGUUAUUUUAAAGUGAGAAUCAAGAACAACUUAAUGAGCCUCAGAACUGGGUUACUGAUGGCACCAGAUGGGCAACCCUAGCACACCUGUGCAUGGCAUUAAGGCUCACCGCUGUUCCAGUCCCAGCCAGCUGCAUCUAGGAUCCAGGGUCCCGUCCCAGCACAGCGUGUUCUCUUGUGGCGGUCCCUCUUUCACCAUGCUUCCGGCCCUUGGCAGUGUCCCACCAGCUCCACACCUCCCUCUGCUCCCGUCCACCAAGUAAGUUUUUAUCCGUGGUGAUAUCCCUGCCACAGCAAUCCCAAAGUCCCCAUCACAAUUCCCAUCCCAAAGAUAAGCCGCGUGAAUCCUCCCCUCCCAUUCCUUUCCCUUUCCAUCCCACCAUGCUACAAAUAUAUGUGCUUUUUCUGUUAUUUACUAUAUAACUGCUAUGAUAUCAUAAAAUGUUGAGGGUUUAGAGUAGUUGUUUGUUGCUGCCCAAUUGAUUGGUGAUUGCUGUCGAUGUUGGUGGUCGCGGUGAGCUAUUCUGGCUUCUUUUUUAUUCUGAUGUUUUUGGACUACAUUUCCCAGCAUUCCCAAGCUCAUUGAUCUCUGAACAGUUUCCAAUGGGGGCUCCCAUUGGAACCUUCCCAUUCCCUACCCUGGUUCCACUGUCAAUCUGUUUGGGUAGUGCGACAUAUGGCUUCUGGAGGUGUGUUAUGAAAUGUUUUAUAAAUGUUUUCGAAAUGUUUUUGAAAAUGUGGGUUGCUAUUUGGCUUGGUCCCCCACCCACCUAGCCCGCUAAGAGUUAUAGUUAAACUUCUCACCCACGUGGGGGAUGGGAGAGGCUCAUUCAGAUGUAGGUCAUGGUGUUUAAUGUCCCCCUCCCACAAACCACUGACAGUCUAGAAGGAGCAAACCCCUGGCCCAGUCCACAUUUCCUCCCCCUUCCCUUGACCGUCCUCCUUUCUGCCCCACAUCUGAAACACUGCAUGCCCCUGUAAACAGACUCGGAGUUAAAGUAUAAAUUAAUUUAUUUUAACAUAACCAAGAGAUAGAACAAAGGAGGCCUAGGUGUUGUUGUCAGCAAUAUAUCUUGCCAUACAAUCAUGCACAAGGGCCGCCCGACCAGUCUCUCCUUGAGGAUUUCUCCUCGGUCCCUGUGCUGCUGCUGCCCAGACACAUCUCUGUUGCCUGGCCACUGCCUGUCAUGUUUCUUCCCAUGACUCAUAGAUUUCAUAGACAUUAGGGCUGGAAAGGACCUCAGAAGAUCUUUGAAUCUAGCCCCCUGCCCCAGGGGCAGGAAGUCAGCAGGGAUCAUAGGAUCCCAGCACGAUAAACAUCCAAAUUUCUCUUGAAGCCAAUCAAAGUAGGUGCUUGAACCAGCUCUGGUGGCAGGCUAUUCCAGACCUUGGGGGCUGUGGCAGGGCACUGUGUGUGCCAGCCACUUUAAGGGCCUGGAGCUGGUAGCCACCAGGUGCCUGAUGAGGGCAGCCAUUUUGAGUCAAGGGCUGUCUAUAUAAACAGGGCAAUUCGGGCUGCUGGAGGCCAGGCAACAACAUCGCCUGGCCGGAAGGCUGCAGAUCUACAGCUGGAGGUAAGGGAGGAGCUGUAGGGGAUGGUCAGGAGGCUCCUGGUCCUGGGCAUGACCUAAAACUGCACCCUGCUGGGGGUGGGUGGCCUGGUAGGGCUCUCGGUGGUGCAGGAGCCCCCAGGAAAUGCCAGGCCAGUUACCACCCCGGUGAAAGGUGGGUCGGGGCGCCUUAACCCCUAACUCCCACCACUGGGUGGGUAACCCCAUUUGUGUGAAGGGCCCAGAGGGCAGACCCCUGGAGAGAGUGAGGGGCUAGAGACUUGGACCUGAACAAGAGAGUACCCUCAACUGGCCCAUGCUGGGGCCAGGACCAGGAUGGUCAAAAGGGUCAGGGGCCCACCACGAGGGAUGCCCAAGAGCCGGGGGCCUGGGGUCCCGACUGGCCUGGAGGUGGGCCAGGGCUGGUAGCCAGAAGUCCCAGGGGGACCACACCUGAAAGGAGAAAAUAGUUUCAAGGAGCUAGGUAGCCUGAAUGAAGGCGGGGUAGGCCGCCUGAAUGGAGGGAUCUUGGAGGGGUCCUGAUAGGCAGAUUCUGGGGCCCAGUGUAGGGGCUGGUGAUUGAUAAGAACACCUAGAUGCCAUCUGCGAGGCUUGGGCUGCAGUGUAGGGGAGGAAAGGAGCCGCAGAGCCCCCCCUGGAAUCGGGGCAGAAAAAUGGGCAGCUUCCCACUUAAUUGACAUCUAUUAAUUAAUCAACAUCAAGGCGUGGCGGACGAGAAGGCGGGUGGUUGGCCCAAGAACAGGUGGGCAGGCCACGGAGAUCAGCCCAAGUAGGCCCCCUGUUACAGGGGCUCAGACAGUAAAGAAGUUCUUCCUUAUGUCCAGCCAGAAACAGUCCUGGAGGAGUUUGUGACCGUUUGACCUUGUCAUCCCUUGGAGCACUCUGGUGAACAGACAUUCCCCCAGAUCCUGAUGUGGGAGACAACCCGGGUAUGGAGACUUUCAGCACCAGGAUUGGGCAGGAGGAGGAGGAGGUGCCAGCAGCAGCCCCGCCUGAGGGUUUCACGAGGGAAACCAUGAGCAAGUCUUAGCUGUAUGCAAACCGCUCCCUGCUCCCUGAUGACCAUGACUGGCAGGAAGAACCAUAGGUCACCAUACACUUAAUGCCAGUUUGCCCCUCUGUUCCACGGACCAGCACAGAUGAUGAAGUGAAGGAGAUGGAGGGUCAGGAAGAAACCCAUGCAGCCAAUACAUCAUCUGCUGCUGUCGAGACCCAAGAACUUGCUGGACUACCCACUGCAACCCAUGGCCACCUGGAACAACCCCCAUGUCACACUACAACAGAGCACUGCAGAGAUUUUCACAGCAAGCAGCGACGGUUCCACAAAAGCUUGCACGAGGCUUUGGCGGAGUUCUCACUAGCCAGAGCAGUAUGCGCAGAUGCCUAACAGGACAAACUCCUUGAGUUGCUGCAUAAGAAUGAUGCCAUCCUCGAGGAAGUGCAAGACACCAUGCGGAAUUUGAAAGAAAUAUUUGACAAGUCCCGUGUCAAAUUACAGAGGUCAUAGGAAAAUUUCAGUGAUGCCUUUCAGAGUGUGCAGAAGUACCUCUUAAAUAAAUGGGUGCCACCCCCAAAAGGGAAAAGUUGGUCCACUUGGCUUGCCUCUGUGCAGGAAAAACCCAGAGGGAGAAUUACAGCUGAGCCUGUUCCCCCUAACUCAGUAGGGUCAUGGGAGGGCCAUACAACUACCAGCAGGGCCAGGAGGUUGCCACCAAAUUUCAGAGAGAUGGGGCGGUUCAGGGUCAUGGUCCAGUGAAGGCAAAGAAGCCCAAGUAACUGCUUACAAUACUGUGUUCCAAAGAAUAAAACGUCAUGGUUUCCUGA